CCUACGGGAGGCAGCAGUGGGGAAUAUUGGACAAUGGGGGGAACCCUGAUCCAGCCAUGCCGCGUGUGAAGAAGGCCUUAUGGUUGUAAAGCACUUUAAGCGAGGAGGAGGCUCUUCUAGUUAAUACCUAGGAUGAGUGGACGUUACUCGCAGAAUAAGCACCGGCUAACUCUGUGCCAGCAGCCGCGGUAAUACAGAGGGUGCGAGCGUUAAUCGGAUUUACUGGGCGUAAAGCGUGCGUAGGCGGCUUUUUAAGUCGGAUGUGAAAUCCCCGAGCUUAACUUGGGAAUUGCAUUCGAUACUGGGAAGCUAGAGUAUGGGAGAGGAUGGUAGAAUUCCAGGUGUAGCGGUGAAAUGCGUAGAGAUCUGGAGGAAUACCGAUGGCGAAGGCAGCCAUCUGGCCUAAUACUGACGCUGAGGUACGAAAGCAUGGGGAGCAAACAGGAUUAGAUACCCUGGUAGUCCAUGCCGUAAACGAUGUCUACUAGCCGUUGGGGUCCUUUGGAGGUCUUUAGGUGGCGCGAGCGUACGACGAGUAAGUAGACCGCCGUGGGUAGGUUACGGUUCGUCGAGACGUAACGUUACGAGAGUAGAGGNGNGAGAGNGCGAGACGACGACGAGGAGGAGG
rnacentral:rRNA from 1 species